UACAGAGGGGGCGAGCGUUGUUCGGAAUUACUGGGCGUAAAGGGCGCGUAGGCGGCCCGCUAAGUCGAACGUGAAAUCCCCAGGCUCAACCUGGGAACUGCGUCCGAUACUGGCAGGCUUGAAUCCGGGAGAGGGAUGUGGAAUUCCAGGUGUAGCGGUGAAAUGCGUAGAUAUCAGGAGGAACACCAACGGCGAAGGCAGCUCGCUGGGACGGUACUGACACUGAGGCGCGAAAGCGUGGGGAGCGAACAGG
rnacentral:rRNA from 1 species